CUGGUAAAGUCUGCAUCAAAACUACUGCAGCAGACCAGUACUUAGAUCCCACUCGGAGACUCUCUGUCCAGACAGCACUUGAAGACAGGCAGUGAAUGAACUAGGGCUGUCUACCCAGGCCCAGAAAGCAUUAAUAGCCGCAAUUUGUUCUAAAAGACUACCUGAAAGCAGAAGGGCGGUGGAGGAAAAUCCAGCCUGCCGUUAGUCUGAAGUGUUGGCUCAUCCGAAGUGAUCUAUUUCCAAGGAUCUGAUUGUGUCAUCCUGCUUACUUAAGCACAGCAAGAAUGAGUAGAUCCACACAAGAGCUCUUCUUGAAUUUUAUGGUGGUUUUGAUGACUGUGCUACUUAUGUGGCUACUUGUUAAAUCCUAUCAGGAAUGAGAAACUGUCUUCAAUGUAAAACUAUCACUUACAAUAAAUUGUGCCAGUCUGUCAUGGCUCUGUUCCUCUUUAACUGUUCAGUGGCUACUGUCAGAUAACUUAACCCAGGAAAUCACUUGCUUGAAUUCUUGUUUAUUUUCUACUUUUCUUCUUUUGCCUAAUGCCCUAUUCUUACCCCCUGUAAUGUAUCUGAAUGGGCAUGUGUCAUCCCUUUAUGAUUUAGGAGCACAAUUGUGAAGAGUGAAAUUCCUAACAAAGAACAAAGUCACUCCACAUUGUCAGCUUUGCACUAUGCAUGUACACCUGUAACUGUUGGGUGCAGUGAGCUACAACUCAAUACAAUUUGACCAUUUGUGGACCUGCAUGAGAUGACAUGGCACUGACAAUACUACCAUCAAGAAUGUCGUCAUUAUUCAAAUAGAAGAUUAGUGUAAAUUAAGCAAUAUUUCUCUAUGACACUUUGUAGUCUGGUACUAUGGUUUAUGGUCUUUCACCUGGGUCACACUGUUCUGAUCUGAAAUCCAGAAAUAUGGGAUGGCAUAUGCCCUUUGGUUCUUACAGCUACCUCUAUGCUAUUUUUAAUAUAAUGUGUUGGUACAUAAAUGCUUUACUUAUCAAAUGGUACUUCAAAGGAAGUUUUGAUUAAAACUGUCAAUGCAAAUGUACUCCCAUAUAUAAAUGGCACUACUAAAUUCCAAACUGUUUCAAUUUCUGUACAGUGAACAGUCUGCUUUCUACUUUUUGUUCUUUCUUGCCUUAUCUUGAAAUGAAAAACUUAAUUGUCUUCACUUUAGAAAUAUUCUGUAAUAUUCCUUUGGCCUUGAUCAAUCAACUGUCACAGAUUUAGGCCUGCUUAAUUUCUAAUUGUGGAGUUCAACAUUAUAUUGAAGUGAAUUUUCAGAAGACUAAAGAUUAAAUAUAGCAUCCCUUCAUGUAUCACUUUGUUGUAAUUAAAUAUACACCCAAACUCACUUAUUGUUUUCUGUUACUUUGUUCUCUACAUACCAGAACUACCUUCAUCAGUACAUAAAGUAGUGUCAAUUUAUCAACUCAUUAAAUUUUACCAGGCUCGGAUGUAUUCCACAAAGUUCACAUAAAUGAAAAGUGAAAUAUAGUCCACGCUUUUGUAUAGAGUUUAGAUGUUUUUGUAGGCCCUGAUGUGUUGCAAUUCCAAAAUGGUACAGUAGUAACCAAUGGUUAGGCCACAAUGAGGAUUUAUGAUGAUAAACACUUACUAUUUGCUAGCUUUAUGGUUGAUUUACUCACUCACACUUGUUUUGGUUAAAAAACUACCAGUUUGCUAUUCUGUGGCCACAUGAGGAUAACUUGCCUACAUUCCAGUUUCGGGGAUCUCUGAGGUGGCUGAUGAAGCCAGUGAGGGAUCUGUAGACUCUGGCAAGAGUAGAACAGGAAGUGCUUGACAGGGCAAAUAGGUGGGUGGCAAUGGGGUGUGUCACAUUCCUCCCUUCCAUCCUUGGUAAUAGCUUUAACCUGCCCCAGUCAAAGAAACCUGCAGUUCGGCAGCCUGAGUAGGGAUUCCCAUGACUGGAUAGGGGAAUAUUACAUUUUUAAGGAGGCUCUGAGAACAUGUUUAUUUCAGUAAUAUUGUAAAUAUAUUGUUUGAUUAAGCAUUCUUUGUUGUUUACGUAAUUCAUUACGAAUUAUAUGUAAAAGUAUGUGAAUGGCAUAUGUCAUUACACCACAAUGUCGUAAGUGCCGCCUUACUAAAAAGAAAUUAAGCGUA